CCCUUAGAUGUUCUGGGCCGCACGCGUGCUACACUGAGUGGAUCAGCGGGUCAGGUUGCGCGAAAGCGUUUCCUAAUCUUUAAAUCCGCUCGUGAUGGGGAUUGACGGUUGCAAUUUUCUGUCAUGAACGAGGAAUACCUUGUAAGCGCGGGUCAGCAUCCCGCGCUGAAUACGUCCCUGCCCUUUGUACACACCGCCCGUCGCUCCUACCGAUUGAGUGGUCCGGUGAGGCUUUGGGAUCUGAGCGGGAAGAGCGUUUCGCUGUUUCUGCUCGGAAAACUCAGUCGAACCUUAUCAUUUAGAGGAAGGAGAAGUCGUAACA
rnacentral:rRNA from 1 species